UUUUUUUUUUAACCUCUCACUCACUGUUUCUGUCCAAGAGAAGUGACUUUUAUAUUUAGGGAAAUUGGUAAAAAAAAAAGAUUGAAUAUGUCGCUCAGACUUGCCUCCACAAUGUGUAGUAAAUGCACUGAGUCUAGGCUUCUUUGUUUUUUUGUCUUGGUAGCAAAUCAGUCCAGUUUGAUGUGGGGAACAGGCAAAGUGGCAGGUGUUAAAAUCUCAUUUGGGGCCACAGAUCCCGGGCAUAGUCUCCAAUCAAGCCCUAGCAACAAUAAAGCUGAUAUUGUUUUCUCUGACUCCAUAUCUCUUUUUCAAAUGUUACUAAAUGUAGGUGGUCAAAGGGAUAUGACCCAUACCGCCUGAGUCGGUGUUGGGGGGUAAGAAGUGUAUCAAGUUGGAAAUCAGGUGACAUAGGUUUCAAGACCAGCAGGUAGGUCACUUCUUUUCUCUGGGAUUCAGUUUUCUCAUUUAUAAAACAAGUGACUGAGCUUUGGAGAGCUCUAAGGGUAGCUCCAGAUUUAGCAUGUCAUGAUUAUCACUAAGCUAUAAACUGAGUCCUGAAGGAAAUAUAUGAUUCACAUCUUUAGAGAGAGAAGUGAAGAGUUAGGGAGAGGCUAGUAGGGAUGAAAAUACCAAAAGAAGAGUUAGCGUGGUAAAUAUGAAGAAUAGAAAGAGGCAGGGCUCAUUGUCCAGCCCAGGCAUCUGCAGGCUGAUUCACCUUGACAACCAUUAAAGUUUAUGCACAUAAAAGGAUGUAGAGGAUUUAGACAUAACCACAUGCGGGAGGAGUUUCAGUGAUGCAUGUCUUCAAAAACCCUUUUCUGAUCUGAUGAGGUUUAUGAUCAGAUUAAUAGAGAUUCCAAGCAGGAGGAUGAAAAAUAUCACAAAAUAUCUUUAAAAAUCUCUACAAUUUCUGUCUCCCAGCAAAAGAAUGGAAUCAUGGACUAACCAGUUGUGAUUAUUUUUUUGCCUAGAUUCCUUGUCUAAUGCACAUAGCAAGUUUUUUUCCUUUGGCUCCAUUUCAUGAGUUUAACAUUUUUUAUAUCUGGCUUCUCUGACUUUCUGUCCUGUCUUUGAUUCUGAUUUCGAAUCUAACAUGUCACUAUUAUCACUAUGUCACAGCCACAGCAAGCUGGAUCUGAGCCCUAUCUGUGACCUGUGCCACAGCUUGUGGCAAUGCUGGAUCCUUAACCCACUGAGUGAGGCCAGGGAUUGAACCCAUAUCCUCACAGAGACAACGUCGGGUUCUUAACCUGCUGAGCCACCAUAGGAAGACCUAGAAGAUAUUUUAUAUAUAACCUAAAAGAUUAUAGCUAUAUAAUCUCAGCUUAUAUUUCUUGCUUAAUUACUCAAGUCCUACACCUAACAGCUCUUGAGGAGCGAAUGUGGGUGAAUCACACUCAUGCACUGGAAAAGCUCUGAACGUGUUGAUCACGUCUCAUCAUGUCUCCAUAUCUUCAGGCAAAACUCUGUCUUCCUAACCUGGAAUUCUUCUGUCUGGUACCGGUAUAUAUUCAACGACAUCUUUUAUGUUUAUCUUUAGUGGGCUUUAUUAUUUAUUGGUUUCUUGAUUAUAAGGAGCUCUUACAUGAGGCCAUAGUACCAUUUGAAGGAGGAAGCAUGGCAAGGAGGCGUUUGUUCACCACCAGAACAUAGCAUUAAGUUAGGAGUUUUUUUCUGAAAAAGACAGCAGCUCACCACUGGAAGGUAUGUGGAAAGGAGGGCCUGACCUCCUGUGUAGCAGGACUUGACACUAGAACACUUGCUAAGUCCAGCCAAAGCUCUUAAGUAGUCCUCAUACAGCACCAUCCUGAGCUGUAUUUGGUCAGUCUUAGCUACUACAACCCUCCUGGCAGCCCCUUUCUGAAGAAAUCAGCCCCAGGCUUCUUUCUGUGUCCAGGUGCCAGAGCCUAUCCCAUUUGCAUUGAAAGCAGUUAACCCUGGGAGUAUAAUUAACUCCAGCCACGAUACAUUGAACCAGAGAUCUGCACAGAGUUAAGGCCAACUUCAUCUAAGACCAUUUGGCUUGAAACACUGCCUUCUAAUAGUGUUCUGAAUUAAAAGGUACUUGUUUUUUUUUAUUAUUACUUUAUUUUUUCCCCGCUGUACAGCAUGGGGAUCAAGUUAUUCUUACACGUAUCCAUUUUUUUUUUUAAAAAAAGGUACUUGUGACAAGAGCUAACAUAUAUAUGAUAGAUGCGAAGAAGCCCAUCUGUCCUUGCGGUGACUUAUUGAGAAACUCGGCUCUUAGAGGUUCCGUAGAUGUAGAGAAGAAGGCGGCAUCUCUGAAGUUCUGAACGAAAGCUGAUAAUGAUCCAAGUCUAGGAAUUACUGGCAUCUGUGGAGAAGAUGAUAAGCUCCACUGAGAGGCAGUAGAGCAGAAAGGUGGGGUGGAGACUCAGAAGCCAAACUGCCUGUGUUUGAAUACUAGACCCACCCCAGGUAGCUCUGUGAUCUUACGGAAGUGGCAUCAACUCUCUGUCCCUUGGUUUCUCCAUCAGGAAACAGGGACAAUAAUGGCAUCUACCAGACCGAACCGUGAGGCCAAAACAAGUUAAUACAUGUUAACUCAGCACAAUGGCUGGCGGACAGUAACUGCUUAAAAAACCAAAGCUCUUAGUAUUCUUUUAUCCUGGUUCUCGAGAGAGGCAGAGGAAUUGAUUGAGGUACUGCAUUUCCUUUCCCUCUAUUUUUCCUUCCCUGUAUUCCAAAAGGGACUCCCUGUCCUUUGUUCUUUCUUUCCUGGGGGGCGGGUGGGUUGGGUUUCAGGGCCCAAAGUCAUCUUCCUUGCUUUUGCUGACCUGGAAUCCUGAGCCUAUUGUACAGAUGAUGCUCAAAGGAGAGGAAAGAAGUAGUUGACUUGAGAGUAGACAGAAGAUGGAGGGAGAUUUCUCUAAGCCUUGGGAAGAACUGCCAGCUGCCAGUUUGGGGAUGGCGAGGAUCUGGGGCCACUUCCUGGCAGAACGCCUAGGGGUAAUGUCUCUCUGGUCAACCUUAGGAGGCUAGUUAGACUCUAGGUGCUAUGGCUUUCGCCUUGGCAUGGGAGAAGUGUGGCUGCUUGCUUUUACAGUACCAUGCAGACUUGGACUAAAAAGCAGGAUGGCUUGAGGAUUAGAGAUACUCUUCCUAUUGGACACUCAUCACACCAAUCUCCUAAGGGUUUGUGUGAUCCCCAGGAGGGUAGAAAGCUCUAGAAAGUGACUGAAAUUUAAUUGUAUAGUCAAUCUGGAAGGACGGAGAUGUGACGUUGAAAUAAAUUUGGUUAAAAAAAAUAAAGCAAUGUGCUGGCUCUUAUAUGCCCAAGUUUGAGGCGUAACAUCCAUAUCAAUUACACAGUAAACCGUCAUUCCCAAAAGUACUUUAGUUUUUUUUAUAGUCUUACUUUGUGAUAUUAGAAAGAGUCUAUAUAAUUUCGCGUUAAGAACUAAGUUGCAAGGUAAAGAUCCUUAGAGGGAAUAAGAAGCUGGAGAGGUAGGGUGCGGAGCAGUGAGGAUGUCCCCACUUAAGUCACUGUUCAUAAUGGUGGAGUCACUGAUGACGAUGGCCCUCAGGGUUAAGGUCAGGCUUUGGGGCACAUGGCAUCUGUCCCUUUAGAGUGUAUGUUAGGCUCCUAGGACUGAUGUAAUGAAGUACCACAAACUGGGUAGCUGAACACAACUGAAAUUUAUUCGUUCACAGUUCUAGAAGUUCUAAAACCAAGGUGUCUUCAGGGCCAUGCUUUCUCUGAAACCUAGAGGGAAUAAUUCUUUGUCCCCUCUAGCUUCUGCUCUUUGCUGGUAAUCCUUGGCCUAUCUUGGCUUGUAGAUAAAUCAUUCCAAUCAGCCUCCAUCACCACUUCCAUGAAGCUUCUUCACUGUAAGAAAUGUCUUCUCUUUUAUACUGCCAUAGCAUCUAAAUCUUAUCCUUCUUGCGGUGUCUAUGUUGCGGCACAAUUAUUUAUGAUUAUUUCUGUGGUAGGCACUUUUUCAGUUGUCUGCUCAGACAACCAAAUCUCUACCUAGGAAAUAACAGUCCAAAACAGCCCCCCAAUCCUAGCUGCUUUGAUGAUGGGUGGACACCUGACCAAACUGAAUCAGUAAGAUUCUCUCCCUAGGGAACUUGAGUUUGAGACUCAGGGAUUCUGCUGAGUCCUAGUGCUUUUGAUUAAACUGAAGAUAUGUUGUUAGCCUGAGCAUUGCUAGGACUAGCAGAAAGCUCAGAGAAACAAAGAAUAUUGUUUGAACAAAGAAAAAUGAAGUAGACGUGCAAAGAGAAAUGGCUAUCGUGUGAGGAGAAAUUACAGGGAAAAAAAUCAGGAUGUUGGCAUGGUAUUUACUACCUGCUUCCGGUUGCUUUCACCAAAGUUCUACAAGAAAGGAAUUAAACUAGACCUGAGGAAGUCUGCCAGUAAAUAUAAAAGAGAUACAAUGUUUCUAAGAUAAGUACUUUCUGUCUACAUACUGUAGUUUAAAUCAACAAAAUUGUCCCAUAAUUUAGAUCCUUACAGGAUUGAAAAAAACCAAGGGCUUCCAUAUCUUAAAACUAAGGCUGGCACAAUUCAUGGCAAAGAAUGGCAGCCAUGGUGGAAGAUGCAAUUGGUGGUCUAGGCCUUUCUCAAUUAGACUUUUAUUAAAAAAAAUUCCCUGGGAGUUCCCAUCGUGGCGCAGUGGUUAACGAAUCCGACUAGGAACCAUGAGGUUGCGGGUUCGGUCCCUGCCCUUGCUCAGUGGGUCAAAGUUCCGGCGUUGUCAUGAGCUGUGGUGUAGGUUGCAGACACGGCUCGGAUCCUGCGUUGCUGUGGCUCUGGUGUAGGCUAGCAGCUACAGCUCCAAUUCGACCCCUAGCCUGGGAGCCUCCAUAUGCUGCAGGAGCAGCCCAAGAAAUGGCAAAAAGACAAAAAAAAAAAAAAAUUCCCUGCCAGACCAAGGGGAAAACUCUACUGACAAUGAUCUAAUUAUGAGUGAUGUCUCAUUACCCAAGGUUAUUUUAGGACUAGGGAAAUGAGUAGCAUACAGAGAUGACUAGAUUAAAAAAGAAUACUUUUUUAAAAAGAAUGUG
rnacentral:lncRNA from 1 species